rnacentral:lncRNA from 1 species
GUUCCACUUUGCUCUCUGCUUCCUUACUCCUUUGUAUCAACAACAAACAUUAAAAUUUUAAAACUCUUCUGGGAUAAUGAUCAUGUUUUCACUAUUUUUUCCAUUUCUCAUGAGAAUGAACUUUGGAAAGAAGUUUGGAAGAAUUAUACCUUGGUCGGAAGACAUUUUCUAACUGAAGAUUUGUUUGGUGACCACACUGCAUUCAUUCAAUACCACGCCCAUCAGCGUCAACCCAUCCACUCCCGCUGUGAGUUCCAGGAUCCCAAGGAACAUGUUGAACUAUCUUCAGAGUCAGGAAUUAGAAGAAGAAAGAUAAAACCUUUGUACAAGCACCUCACUAAAAAUCUGUCAUUGCCUAUUGUCGCCUCUUUAAUCUGACUCAAUACUUUUUGGAAAAUUUUACAGAUAAUAGAGAUUGUUUGACAGCAUAUUUGAUUGAAUGUUGUGUCAUAGUCAUUUCUUUUAUAGUUUGACAUUAAGUUGAUAUCCUACAAUAUUGUAUUAGUUUUAGCAUAAUGUCAGUGCACAGAAACUUCUGUGGGAAGGUAACCUGCAGAAUGUCUAAGUAUGGCUUGUAUUUGUUUUUGUAACUUUGGUUCACCUAAGUACUCACUGUAAUUUCCUGCAUGUCUAUAAAGAGAAAUCCCAUAGGAACAGAUUAGCAUGCCAUAAACAAAUACAAUGAGUAAGACCCACACAGUGUCACGUUUAUAAGUUAGACAGAUACAAUUCUGGGUAGAAUAGUAUUGAACUGUAUUAUUGGAAAGGUAUAGGAAACAGAAACAUCAGGCUCAGCCUCGAAAGAACUUUCAGCCUGUGGAUGAGGCAGAAUAUGCAUAGAUGUAAGUGACUUGAAACUGACAAUGCAUCAUGUAAACAAGCGGAGACCUGGAGCGCCGUGCUAAGGAGGCUCAGGGUAAAGCCCUACUCAGCAGUAUUCCAUUAAGGAAGGCUCACUGGAGGUGGUAGACUUUUUGAAUUUUUUUUAAAAAAGCUUUAAAAACUAGCAUAUGAUUACAAGCUCUCUGAAAGUUCAAACGAUUCAGAAUUCCGUAUAGUACUGGAUAUAAAUUUCCCUUCCCAUCCUCACACUCAAAAUUCCACUCACUUACCUAAAAGUAACUGCUGUUAGCAUUUACUAUACAGCAUACCAUAUGUCUAUUCAGAUAUCUGUCUAUCAUCUAUCUAAUCUAUCAUAUCAUACUAUAUACAUUGUUCUACAAUUUGCCUUUUAACUUAUCAUUAUGUAUUAAAGAUCUUCUCAUGUUAGCAUGUAUGUGUAUGUGUGUGUGUGUGUGGUCAUUCUUUUGGAAAAUUUUAGCAUGAAUGUAUCAUAAUUUAAACUUGCAUUUAUUGAUUAACAUUUACUUUUUUUAUCACAAAUUUCAUUGCGAUAGACAUCCUUGCAGUUAAUUCACGUGUUUAGUCACUUGAUAUUUAUUGAGUGAUUACUAUAUGAGAGACAUUGCCUUAGGUGUGGCAAAAACAAACAUAAAACAAACAAACAAUAACAGAAACACAUGGUUCCUGCCAGAACUGAAACCAGGAUGAGAUGAGUGAGGCACUGGCCUUGGGCACAAAAUUUAAGGAGACACCAAAAAAUUCAGUAAUCAAGAUAAAUAACACUUUAAUGCAAUAUUUUAAGAAAACAAAAUUAAUUAAAAGUUUCCAUGUUAAACAAAAUAUGAAAAUUUCAAGCAAAAGCAGAAUCUGUACUUAGCUUACAGUCUAGUUAAGGAGGUAUCAAAUAAUCACAAAAUUAUAUUAUUAUUGCUAUUGUAAGAAUCAAAUGAGUUAUAUCAAACUUAUAUAUCAAGCACUUAACAAAAUUCAAAAUUUAUUCAUGAUAAUACCUAAAUUGAAUAAAUUUUGAAUUUUUUUAAGUGCUUUUCA